GGGCGAUGAUGAUUUCCAGGUCUCGUUCGUCGUAACGGUGAAUCUGCCUUGCCGACCAUCCUGAUAUAUCACCACCCAUAUUCUGAGUCC